UGGGGCAGGGCGUCCGCUCGCUUAGAAAUUUUGCGGGAGGAAAGUCCGGACAUCGUAGGGCAGGACUCCCGGUGAAAGCCGGGGAGAAGCGUGGCGAUGCGCUUCGACGGAUAGCGCAACAGAAAGUAAACCGCCGGCUCAGGCCGGUAAGGGUGAAAUGGUGGGGUAAGAGCCCACCGCGCCGACGAGUGAUCGCGGCGGCACUGCAAGCCCAGUCCGAUGCAAGGCAAAAUAGGGAGCCGGACGGCCCGUCCAAAGGCUUCGGGUAUGCCGCACCGGCGACAUUGGCGCCGGAGUCUCCUCCGUGGAGGCUAGAUGAAUGGACGCACGGCGGAAACGCCGAACAGAAUCCGGCUUAUGCCCCACCGU
rnacentral:RNase_P_RNA from 1 species